AAAACCCGAAAUAAAGAGAGUUAACGCUGUUACUUGUGGAGUAGCAUAUCUACAACCAAUACAGCGCUGGUAACUAAAAAUUAGCCGUUCUUUAUUAUAUCUGGCUCAUAUUAAAAUGAAUGUAAUUCAACUACCUUAGGUAAUUAAUUUAAGUAGGGAUAAGCCUGCUUAAUACCUAUAAAGUUUAAAAUUAUUGCAUGUAGGCUUGAAAAUUGCCAACCUGAUUUUGUUAUAAUUCCUAACCCUUAUUUAUAAUUUUAAACUAUUUAAGUUAUUAAUUAUGUAUUUCACAAACUUACUAGAAAUUAACACUGGUAGAAUUAUUUAGCAGCAACUGGUUAAUAGCCUAUUGAAGAAUUAUUAGAAGUGAACUCGGCAAUUUAACCUUCGCCUGUUUAUCAAAAACAUCGCCUAAGGCUAGGAUCUUAGGUAUUGCCUGCCCAAUGAUAGUUGAAUGGCCGCAGUAUUUUGACUGUGCAAAGGUAGCAUAAUCAUUUGUCUUUUAAUUGAAGGCUAGUAUGAAUGGCGUGACGUAAGGUUUACUAUACCUCUAAUAUUACUAAACUUAAUCUAUAAGUUAAAAAGCUUAUAUAAUAUCGCAGGACGAGAAGACCCCGUAGAUCUUAAUAAUAAACCUAAUACCUAAUUUGGAAUUUUAAUUAUUUAUCUAGGUUAAGUUAUUUGGUUGGGGCGACGAGAAGUUAAUCAACACCUCAUUUUAAAACAAUAAUAUAAGGUUAAAUGACCCGGAGUCCGAUUAUAAGUACAAGUUACCUCGGGGAUAACAGCGUAAUCUAAUUUUAGAGUUCUUAUCAACAAUUAGGGUUGCGACCUCGAUGUUGGAUUAGGAUACGUUUCAAAUGCAGCAAUUUGAUACCGGGGUCUGUUCGACCUUUAAAUUCCUACAUGAUCUGAGUUCAAAUCGGCGUGAGCCAGAUUGGUUUCUAUCCGCGCUCAGGUUUGUUUAGUACGAAAGGACCAACAAGCCAGGUUUCACUUUUAUAAAGAAUAUCAAU
rnacentral:rRNA from 1 species